ensembl:lncRNA
GGGGGCAGGGGAUAUCCAGGUGGGUGAUUAUGGGUGGAGGGGGGGCAGUUGGAGGUGUACAGGGGAUAUCCAGGUGGGUGAUUAUGGGUGGAGGGGUACAGGGGAUAUCCAGGUGGGUGAUUAUGGGUGGAGGGGUACAGGGGUUAUCCAGGUGGGUGAUUAUGGGUGAAGCUGGGCAGGUGGAGGGGUACAGGGGAUAUCCAGGUGGGUGAUUAUGGGUGGAGGGGUACAGGGGAUAUCCAGGUGGGUGAUUAUGGGUGGAGGGGUACAGGGGAUAUCCAGGUGGGUGAUUAUGGGUGGAGGGGUACAGGGGAUAUCCAGGUGGGUGAUUAUGGGUGAAGCUGGGCAGGUGGAGGGGUACAGGGGAUAUCCAGGUGGGUGAUUAUGGGUGGAGGGGUACAGGGGAUAUCCAGGUGGGUGAUUAUGGGUGGAGGGGGGCACUUCUCAGUCUGAAGUGUCUGAGUGUACACUGCUCUGUGCCUUGGUGGGAGGGUGGGGGUCCGGGCCGUCCUGCCUUCCACUGUUAACCUGUAAAAGACACAAUGGGGGAGGGAGUGAGAGAGGAGACCAAGACUUC